CCCCUUCCCCCCCCCCAUCUCUCUCGCCAGAGUAUGGAAUCUCUCAGAGUCUGGAAGAUUUGGUGAUGAGCUUCAGAUACAGUUAAUGGGAGAGGCAAAGAACAGGCUGCAUUAAAUGUCAUAAAGGAAACGUAAAAGCAAGAGAUAUGCCUCACAUGCAAAUCAAGGAUCCUGAGGAGAACCAUGUGGUUUCGUCUGUUCAACCUAUUCUUCAAACCUUGGAUACUGCAAAAGAGAGCAUAGCCAGGAGGAGAAAUGGCAGGAGACGAGGAGGAAAAGGACUCAUAAUGGAAUCCAAGAAGAUGUUAUUAUCAGAUGCUAAGUUUGAUUCAACUAUGGGGACUCCUCCUGCUUCAUGCAAAAGCCUUUUCAUGUUUCAUCGCAGGCCUGGCUAUGGCCAGCUGGGGACAAAGUGCAUGGUUAAAGCCAACCAUUUUCUCGCUGAGAUACCCGACGCAGACUUGAGUCACUAUAGUGUAGAAAUAACCCCAGAAGUUACGUCUCGUAAACUGAGCAAGGCUAUCAUGACCCAGUUGGUAAAACUGCACAGAGAAACUGACUUAGGAAUGAGGCUACCUGUUUAUGAUGGAGGAAGAAACCUUUACACAGCAAGAUCACUGCCUUUUUUCUCCAAAGACUUCACUGUAACUUUGGUUCACGAAGAGGAGGCAACAGGCAAUCUCAAGAAAAGAGAAUUUAAAGUGACAAUAAAGUUUGAAGCUCUUGCUAGUAUGCUGCAAUUAAGGGAGCUUUUUUCCGGAAAACCAGUCGAUACCCCUCAAGAAGCGAUUACUAUUAUUGACAUUGUACUAAGGGAAUUUGCAGCUCAAAGGUACGUAUCAAUUGGAAGGUCCUUCUAUUCUCCUGAUAUCAAGAAACCACAGCAGAUGGACGGGGGUUUAGAAUCAUGGCGGGGCUUCUACCAAAGUAUAAGGCCUACUCAAAUGGGAUUGUCACUGAAUAUUGAUAUGUCGGCUACGGCUUUCAUUGAACCACUCCUUGUUAUUGAUUUUGUUGCUCAAAUUUUGUGCAAAGAUGUGUGUAAAAGGCCAUUAUCAGAUGCAGAUCGCGUUAAGGUCAAGAAAGCCCUUAGAGGUGUCAAAGUAGAAGUUACCCACAGAGGAAAUGUACGAAGAAAAUACCGAAUUUCUGGGUUGACAACGCAGCCUACAAGAGAGCUAAUCUUCCCUCUCGAUGGGCACAUGAACAUGAAAUCAGUUGUUGAGUACUUUCAAGAGAUGUAUGGCUAUACCAUUCAGUAUCCCCAUCUUCCUUGCCUUCAAGUAGGAAACCAGCGGAAGGUGAACUAUUUACCGAUGGAGGCUUGCAAGAUAGUCGAGGGACAAAGAUAUACAAAAGGGCUAAAUGAGAAGCAGAUCACUUCUUUGCUAAAAGUUUCGUGUCAAAGACCCCGUGAUCAAGAAUCAGACAUUUUACAGACAAUUCAACAAAACGGGUAUGACCAAGAUCCGUAUGCAAAAGAGUUUGGCAUCAGCAUAGACAGCAAGCUUGCAUCAAUUGAGGCUCGAGUUCUACCAGCUCCAUGGCUGAAGUACAAUGAUACUGGAAAAGUAAAAGAAUAUCUUCCUCAAGUUGGUCAGUGGAAUAUGAUGAACAAGAAAGUGAUAAAUGGAAGCACUGUAAGAUAUUGGGCUUGCAUCAACUUCUCGCGAAGUGUCCAAGAAACCACAGCUCGAGGUUUUUGCCAACAGUUGGUUCAGAUGUGCCAAAUCUCCGGCAUGGAUUUUAACUGCGAACCUAUAAUUCCAAUAUAUUCAGCAAGACCUGAUCAGGUAAAGAAGGCCUUGAAAUAUGUGUAUCAUGCUGCUGCAAAGAAACUCGAAGGGAAAGAAUUGGAGUUGCUUAUUGCAAUUCUUCCCGACAACAAUGGCUCAUUGUAUGGUGAUCUAAAAAGAAUUUGUGAAACUGAUCUGGGGUUGAUUUCCCAGUGCUGCCUUACCAAACAUGUCUUCAAGAUUAACAGACAAUACUUGGCAAAUGUGUCACUCAAAAUCAAUGUUAAGAUGGGAGGAAGAAAUACUGUGCUUUUGGAUGCUUUGAGUUGGAGAAUUCCUUUGGUUAGCGAUAUCCCAACCAUAAUUUUUGGGGCUGAUGUAACACAUCCAGAGUCAGGAGAGGACACUAGUCCAUCAAUAGCUGCUGUUGUAGCCUCCCAAGACUGGCCAGAAGUUACAAAAUAUGCCGGGUUAGUAUGUGCUCAGCCUCAUCGGCAAGAACUUAUUCAAGAUUUAUUCAAAACAUGGCAGGACCCUCAACAGGGAACUGUUGCUGGAGGCAUGAUCAGGGAGCUCUUACUUUCAUUCAAGAAAGCCACUGGGCAAAAGCCAUUGAGGAUAAUAUUUUACAGGGAUGGUGUGAGUGAAGGCCAGUUCUACCAGGUUUUGUUGUAUGAACUCGACGCAAUUCGAAAGGCUUGUGCAUCCCUGGAACCCAGUUACCAACCUCCAGUAACAUUUGUGGUUGUCCAAAAGCGGCACCAUACUAGACUCUUCGCAAGCAAUCACAACGACAGAAAUAGCACUGACAAGAGUGGAAAUAUUUUACCUGGCACUGUGGUGGAUUCUAAAAUAUGUCAUCCGACAGAAUUCGACUUUUAUUUAUGUAGUCAUGCUGGAAUCCAGGUAUGCUGUUGAUUAUGUUUAUAUAUACACACACUCUGAAGCUUAACAGUCUCAGAUUAAAAAACAAAAAAUUGAGAGUCAAAUAAAAUAAAGAUUUGUCUACAUUGGAAUUGAAAAAUUGACAGGGCACCAGCCGGCCUGCUCAUUAUCAUGUGCUCUGGGAUGAGAACAACUUCACUGCAGAUGAGAUUCAAUCUCUGACAAAUAAUCUCUGCUAUACGUAAGAAAUUCAAUUCUGCUAUCAUGAUAUAUCUGCCUCAAAAAUAUUUUGAGUCAUGCAAGAUUAAUUAUUUCGAUCAUUUUGUGGCAGGUAUGCAAGGUGCACACGCUCAGUUUCUGUAGUUCCUCCUGCAUAUUAUGCUCAUCUGGCAGCUUAUCGAGCUCGGUUUUACAUGGAACCUGAUGCACCGGAGAAUCCUAAAAUGCGUUGCACACGGACUGCCAAUGGAUCAUGCGUCCGCCCAUUGCCUGCAUUGAAAGAGAAGGUGAAGAAUGUAAUGUUUUACUGCUAAGAGGGAAAGCAAUGAAAAAUGACUUAGUACAGAGAAUAAGGAAGAACAAAAGAGAGUAAUAUGAGAUUAUAGCCAUUUGUACAUGAGUAUUCUUACCUUAUAUUGUAGAGAUUUCCACUAAAAAUUUUGGCCACCUGCUCAGUGGUAAUGAAAUGCAGAGUUCUCAAUUAUAUUUAUUUGAGCA
rnacentral:misc_RNA from 1 species